AUCAUAUUCAUACUGUCAAUCAUUUAUAAAAGUCAAAUCAUCAUAAUUUUCAAUUAUGCUUUUCUUCUUAAAUUCAUCAAUUUCUUAAAUUUUUCUUACCAACCAUGACUAUGACCACAUUAUCCCUGUGGCAGGAUCAUAAUACCGCGUAUCUGCUUGCGGUGGGCUACGAAUCAUCUGGCAGCCAAGUCCUUUGGAACCACUGGUCUCACUGGCGGUUUUGUCGCUGGUCUAUCUGGCGACAUGUCGCUGAUCUUACUGGCGACAUAAAUCCUCAGGACAGUCAAUUGCCAACGUAUAUGCCCCCAUUGGCGGGAUCCUCAACACAGUCAGGUUGUCAAUUUCAUAUUGUCUUCCAAUUCAUAUUUUUUUUUAAAAUAAUAUAAAUAAAUGAUAUUCGAGUCAAAUCAACCAUGUCAUUCUUUGUGAUCAUACAUCAUCAUAAUAAUAUUCAAUAACUUCAAUCAUAAAUAAUUUCUACAAUUAACUUUAAUCAUAAAUAAUUUCAAUAAUUAUUUUAAUAAAUAAUUUCAAUCACAAGCAUGCAUAAAUUUAUUUAAUUCAAAAUUUUACCAGAUAAAUUCAGUAAAAGUAAACACUACUUACCUCAAAAGAAAGUCCAAACUAGAAAUUCUAGGGAUCUCGAAAAUCCUUCUCUGAACCUGAUAUGUCAAAUAUCAUAUUUUAAAUCAAAAUUUCAUCGAAUUAAAAAUAACUAAAUUAUUAAAAUCUAAUAUCCCCACGAUGAUCAAUU
rnacentral:lncRNA from 1 species